CUCCAGAGGAGCUUCUGGCAAUGUUUCUGAAAUCAGGGAACCAGCGGCCCCAGUGGGGUUUGAUACUGAAAGAAAGCCUUCUAAGCAGAAACAUUAGUUCUUGUCAAGGGUCAGAGUAGGUCUCAGCAUGGUGGGCUUAGUGAAGAGGAAAGUAGGCUGGGAAGCCGGCCUGCAGAGUGAGUAGGGGAAAAUCUACGCAGCCCCCGAGAGGGAAGAGGAGACAAAUUUAGGUUAGACAAUCCCAAAGAGCAUCAAGUUACUGAGCCACCGUCUUUCUGGGGACAAAAAGGUCUCAUGUAAAAGAAUGAGCUCACACCCGGGUGGGACGUUUUGCAAUUUGAUGGAGAGGAUGUCGAGUACGAUGAAAGGCCUUCAGACCAGCGAUCAGAACUUGAGAAUGACCUGCUUCUUCCACUUACAGCUCAGUGUUGGCUGAAACACAUGCAACUCUAUAGAUCACUGGGGACUCAUCCUGCAGAUAUCAUUCAAGGUAUCCGGUUCAGAAUCUAUCACCAGCUCAGACUGUAGCCUCUGAAGAGAUCUCAGAUGUUUUGUGCCUUAUACAUUUAAUUCUGAGAUCAUAGAGCCCAAGGAGGUUUUGAGGACCCUCUACCCACACCUUCAGAUGUUUUCAGAGGAUUUGCUGGCAGGGCUGGGCCACUGGGCCUUGCUGGGCUCUAAUUUUCCUACCCACGUGUGUCCUAUAGACCGUGAAUUUUCUUCUAAACACUCUUGACUUUUCACUUGUUAAAUUAAAGCAUUUUCUUAAAGAAAAGAUUAAAACCAAGA
rnacentral:lncRNA from 1 species